GGCAGGGGAAGCUGAGAGCUCUGGACUGAGGGCUGCUGCCUGGCACAGCACAGAGCCCCAAGGACAGAGGUGACAUGUGCUGUGUGUCUAAGCACAGCCACAGGCCACAGCCACGGCUCAGCCCAGGAGGGACCACAGGCACAUGUCUUGCGAGGGUGGCCCGUAGGUCACAACGCAGCUGGAAAGCCUGUCACCUGGUGCCUGGCAGACAUUGGCCAAACCAUGGUGGUGCCGUGUGCAACUCACGGCCGCACAGGGACGUGCUGGUGGCACGGGCUGAGGUCUUCCUGUGCUGCACUGGGUGUCACUGUUUGGAGUGGCUCCUACUGAAGAAGGCCACUGCGACUCAGUGCCAUGGCUGGCGGGCAGCGGCUCGCGCACUCGCGUUGGCUCUGCACUGCACCCGUGGCAGCCCUGUGUGUGUGCACUCCAGCGUGCCCACACCAGACCUGUUUCUAGACUGUGUCCCUGUCCUUAGAUGACCCUGGCUCUGUGUGUGGAGAGAGAUUAUUGUAAGGGAUCUGCUCGGGGUCUAGGGAGGCUGACGCGCUCCAUGGUCAGCAAGCUGCGGAGCGCUGACGGUGCCGAUCCGAUCCAGAGACGGAUGCCCACGUCCCAGCCUGAAGCAGGCAGGAAGCCUCCCUCCUCGGCACCUGCCUUUCUUCCGCUGCUCUCAGGCACUCGACUGGCGAACGAGGCCACCCACACUGCGGAGGUGUCUGCGUUCCUUCACCCACUGGCUCAGAGGCUCCUCUCACCCAGAAACACCCAGAACCAUGCGUGACCGAGGGUCCGAGCAGCCGGGGCCUGGUCACGGCUGUCCGCGGCUGCCUGGGCCGCGCCCUUCCAGGUGAGCCUGCAUCCGGUUUCCCUGUGCAGUGGAGUCCGAGGGAGGCUCCCUCCAGCAGGGCCACACGUGGGGACCAGGGUGCUUUGGCAGGACCUGACCCUUGGUCUCCGUUUUAAGGCCAUUUGGUUCUUUUCAAAACUUUCCCCAGAAACUUGCUCCAAGCAUUAAGGGUCGGCCCCCUGUUGUUCGAUGACACUGUCCGAUUGUAU
rnacentral:lncRNA from 1 species